rnacentral:rRNA from 1 species
UACAGAGGGGGCAAGCGUUAUUCGGAAUUAUUGGGCGUAAAGGGCGCGUAGGCGGCUUGGCAAGUGGAUGGUGAAAUCCCUCGGCUUAACCGAGGAACUGCCAUCCAGACUGUUUGGCUUGAGACCGGGAGAGGUGAGUGGAAUUCCCAGUGUAGCGGUGAAAUGCGUAGAUAUUGGGAGGAACACCAGUGGCGAAGGCGGCUCACUGGACCGGUACUGACGCUGAGGCGCGAAAGCGUGGGUAGCAAACAGG